CAUUGGCUCAACCAANGUAUGCCUUGGAAACUGUUAGACUUGAGUGCAGAAGGGGAGAGUGGAAUUCCAUGUGUAGCGGUGAAAUGCGUAGAUAUAUGGAGGAACACCGGUGGCGAAAGCGGCUCUCUGGUCUGUCACUGACGCUGAGGCUCGAAAGCGUGGGUAGCGAACAGGAUUAGAUACCCUGGUAGUNCACGCCGUAAACGCUGAGUGCUAGGUGUUAGGUCCUUUCCGGGACUUAGUGCCGACGCUAACGCAUUAAGCACUCCGCCUGGGGAGUACGACCGCAAGGUUGAAACUCAAAGGAAUUGACGGGGGCCCGCACAAGCGGUGGAGCAUGUGGUUUAAUUCGAAGCAACGCGAAGAACCUUACCAGGUCUUGACAUCCCGAUGCCCGCUCUAGAGAUAGAGUUUUUCUUCGGAACAUCGGAGACAGGUGGUGCAUGGUUGUCGUCAGCUCGUGUCGUGAGAUGUUGGGUUAAGUCCCGCAACGAGCGCAACCCUUAUUGUUAGUUGCCAUCAUUAAGUUGGGCACUCUAGCGAGACUGCCGGUAAUAAACCGGAGGAAGGUGGGGAUGACGUCAAAUCAUCAUGCCCCUUAUGACCUGGGCUACACACGUGCUACAAUGGUUGGUACAACGAGUCGCAAGCCGGUGACGGCAAGCUAAUCUCUGAAAGCCAAUCUCAGUUCGGAUUGUAGGCUGCAACUCGCCUACAUGAAGUCGGAAUCGCUAGUAAUCGCGGAUCAGCACGCCGCGGUGAAUACGUUCCCGGGCCUUGUACACACCGCCCGUCACACCACGAGAGUUUGUAACACCCAAAGUCGGUGAGGUAACCAUUUAUGGGGCCAGCCGCCUAAGGUGGGANGG
rnacentral:rRNA from 1 species